UACAGAGGUCUCAAGCGUUGUUCGGAUUCAUUGGGCGUAAAGGGUGCGUAGGUGGCGAGGUAAGUCAGGUGUGGAAUCUCGGGGCUCAACCCCGAAACUGCACUUGAUACUGCCUUGCUCGAGUACUGGAGAGGAGAUUGGAAUUUACGGUGUAGCAGUGAAAUGCGUAGAUAUCGUAAGGAAGACCAGUGGCGAAGGCGAAUCUCUGGACAGUUACUGACACUGAGGCACGAAGGCCAGGGGAGCAAACGGG
rnacentral:rRNA from 1 species